CCUGAGAGCGUCUCAGAUCUGAAACUCCUCCUUUUACUUUCCAUCUUUGGAAGAGUCCAAAUCAAGAAGAAGGAGGUACCUGAUCAACCAUCAAAGAUGGAUCAGCGCAGUACUAGCAUACUGUGCUGAUUUCCUGAAGCAGGACUUCUGAUCGAGAUUCGUGGGCUCGUGUGGAUGACUCCUAGAGUUCGGAUGCAUGUGUGGCUUGCAACAUCAUCCUUAAGCCCGGAUCAGCGAGGUUAGAGCGUCUAACUUGCAAGGUAAUAGAUCUGAUCUAUUGUUUAAUACAU
rnacentral:lncRNA from 1 species